UACGUAGGCAGCAAGCGUUGUUCGGAAUUACUGGGCGUAAAGAGUGUGUAGGCGGUGCUCUAAGUCUGUUGUGAAAUCUCCCGGCUUAACUGGGAGGGUGCGGCGGAGACUGGAGUGCUAGAGUGUGGGAGAGGUAAGCGGAAUUCCUGGUGUAGCGGUGAAGUGCGUAGAUAUCAGGAGGAACACCUGUGGUGUAGACAGCUUACUGGACCACGACUGACGCUGAGACACGAAAGCGUGGGUAGCAAACAGG
rnacentral:rRNA from 1 species